rnacentral:misc_RNA from 1 species
AAAAAAAAAAAAAAAGCUCAUGAAUUGUUCCUGUCCCUGUGCGAAGUCUGUAAAUUAUCAUGUGUGAUUUCAUUGGCUUGCAGUGAUGAAUUAUUUCUGACAUAUAAAGAUGUAGAAGACUACUGGAAAAUUAGUGUUUCCAAUUUAUCAGUAUACAUAUUGCAGGUAGGAGUGGCCAUUGGUUUGGUCUGGCCAGAACCAGUGGCUUGUUUCAAGGUUCAGGGAAAUCGGGACUGGACCGUAGAGUUCUCUUGAUUUUGGUCCGGUUUGAUUAAAUUCUACUGUUAAAAUUUUUUUAAAGAAAAAACUUGGUUUUAGCCUGAAAUCAGUCUGGACUGAACCAAUAGAUUCCAAUUCAAUUCUGGUCCAGUUCAAAGCUGGUUUUGGUGUUUUCGAUUUUGACUGGUCUUAAUUUUGGGUUGAAUCAUACUCGGGCUGGGCCUAAAUUUCCAGGAGACAGUAAUGUUUCAUUCCAACAGUAUGGUCCAUUUGACGAGCGUAGUUUGGCGAGCGAGCAUCUUGCUUCUAUCUUGUUUAAAGUGAUAAGGGUAUUCCUUAUCAACUGGCAUUGCAAGAGAAAACAUGUUUUAGAAAUUGAACUAAAAGCUCCUGCAUUGCUUGGCAAAUAAUCUAAAUUUUUUAUUUGUUUUUUUUUUCACUUGUGGAACGUAUGAAGAGGUUAUAAAGAAAGGGGCGGCAGAAAAAAGACGAGCACAGAGAGUGACCAGAGCCCUUUUUCAUGACCAAUGAAGUGGGAUACCAUGUGCUGUUUUGUAGCAAGCAUCGUUUGGUGGGGUUCCUGAAGUGAGUGUUCUGAUAAAUUAAUAGUGAUGGGAAUAUUACAAAGAGUGGUCCAUGGUCCAUAAUCCAUGGGCUUGGAGCCCACAAUUAUUAACAGUGGAAAGCAACGGAAAGAUGCAAGCGCAACCUGGGUCUAUCCAAAAGUUUUCUAGACAUUACUAGACUCUUCACCGCCCGUUUUCUUUCUUCUUCGAACCUUCUUUUAUUUCACUGCACUCUCCUUCAUCGAUCAUCAUCGUCAUCAUUUGUCCCAAAUGAAAGCACUUCAUUAACAUAGACUGAAACAAGGCAAGCACCCAAAAAUACUUUCUUACUUUCAACAAAAAUCAUGUUCGGUGUGGUCUUCCCCAACCGGAGCUUUCCUAUGGACAUUUCCACUUUCUCCCAAAUCGACACCUUCCAUUGGAUUCUCGACAUGAACACUUUCGUAGGUGAGGCCUACGAUCAAAUCCGCGAAGUCUGCAUUUUCCUCUUAAACAGUUUCUCUCUUCCCCCGGAGAAAGCCCUAGCCGUCUACAUUCAGUCUCCUGGUUCACCUUUCCAAUUCUGUGGCGCCAUCACUCUAUCACGUCCCUCCGCCGUCCUCUCCCUCAAUUGGCCUGAGCCCGGUGGACAAUUGCAGCUUACGGCGCCGGAUUCUGCCCCGCUGUCUGCUAAAAUAGGGGUUUCGGUCGAGGACUUGGCGUCACUGCCGUCGUUGGAUAUAGCCGCCGAGAAAAGGAUCGAACGGCUUGCUAUGAAAGUUGGGGAGAAUUUGUUCAAUUAUAUGCAGUCGUUUUGUGGAGUUGAUGGGAGCAAGUUGAUUGUGCCUAUGGAUAUUUUGGACCGAUGGUUUAAGAAGUUUCAGGAGAGGGCUAAGCGUGACCCGGAGUAUUUGAAAGGCUUCGAUUUGUAAUCUUUAAAUUUCAAGGUAUUUUCGCCCUUUACUCAAUUUUGCUCUUCGAGUUAGGUUUGUUUUAGGAAGAAAUUAGGAAAACCAUAUGGCAGCAUUUUGUUGUUAUUGCUCUGUUUGCCUCUCAAACUCACUGGUGUUAUUUUUGGAAGAUGUUGUUGUUGUUGGAUUUUAAUUUCAUUUUAUAAAUGUAUUUUUCUAGUGAAUUCGCAGUAUCAUAUGGUCUCAUUUAGUUCCCCUGAGCAUAUGUGCUUAUUUCCUGCUUCUUCGUUCCUAUAAUGUCCAGAGCUGCCAGAUAUUUUGCUGGUUAUAUCAAGUUUAACUGUCCAAAUUUCAUUGUUCCUAAAUGUUUCCUCUAGUCUAAGUGCUAAUAUUGCCCAUUUAUUGAUCCAAGGAAGGUGGGCCUAUAAUUUUCCAUUAACUAUGCUUGGCUGUAGUUUUACUCAUUCAAUUUGUUUUACAUGAAGUGGCUGUUUCACAGACUCAAAUCUGAACCCUUGGAUCCAUGCACUAUAAGUUAAAGGGAUUUAAGGGGGAACUUUACUUUGUAUUCUUCCCCAUAUAGGCAACAUAUAAAGCUGCUCUUGAGUAAUGCGUUGUGGAUGCAUAUGGUAGUACCGAAAUAGUCAUCUGUUUAUACUCCAGGUCUGCUUCUGUACUACUACUACCACUACCAGGAGCAAACCCUCUGAACGGAUCAACGAAGUUAACUUGAUUGAUAUUCUAAUCUUAGCCUGAGUUUAGAUAAAAAAAGCACUAGAAACCCAACUCAUCAUAAUAUCAAUCUUGUUGGGGACUCGGAUCCUUUCACUCCAUCUCUUUACUGCCUGCCUCUGAUUUUUCUUUGCUCUUAAAAUUUAAUUUGGGCAUGAAAAGUGUAAGAUUUUGAGGUAUUAAAGUGUUUUAUAAUAUAACAAUUCAGAAAUAAAGUUUAAUUAAAUUUUAAAGUUUUAGGAAUUAAAUUAUUGUUUAAUUUAAAAUAUUGGGGACUCAAAUUUAAUGAAAACUUUAUAAUUUUAUCAAGGACUAAAAUGUAGACUCACUAACAAACUUUAGAGACUAAAGUAACUAAUCUUAAAAGGCUAAAUGCAUUUGUGCACUUGAAUUAUUUGGGAUUGACCUAUUGCACCCUUAAACAUUUUUUUUUUAACCUAUUGUUUUUCAUAACAAUUCAAUACAAAUUGGCAGAUGACUGAAAGUGUGUUUUUCGCAUGUGCUGACGCCUCAAAAAGUCAGGAGCGGCCCCACUUAUGGCCUUCUCUCUUACGAAGAAAUAUAGAAGCUAAUUAAAGCAAAUUAAACAAACAUUCACAGCUCAUCUUUGAUUCUAACCCACUAAUUUCUGCUCUCUCUUUAUCUUUCUCUAUAUAUAUGUAUUACAAAUCUCUCUCUUGUUACCCCACCCACACAAUCCCAACACACUUCAUUUUUUCUUAUGUUCACUUAUUUUUCUUCUCUCGUCUUCCUCCUUUGGCUUUGUUUUUGGUUGGUGCUUGUACUUUAGAUUUUGGGUAAAAUCACAUUUGGGUAAAUCUGAAAUGCCAAUGGGCUGGGUGCUUGCCAAAUGGGUUAACAAGUUCAUUUUUCACAUGAUUGCAUGAUUGAAAUCCAUGGAUUUGAAAAGUUCUAUGUUGAGAUAUUCAGAAGGAGAGGCAAAAAGCCUUGGAAUUUGCUUGCAGGUAUUGAGCCAAGGAGCACAACAAGCUGAAGCAUAUUGUUGGAUGGUGACAUUGGUUUAAAUUCUAAUACCCCCCUUGGUAAUUAAGCUUUUUGAUUGGCAGGUUUUGCGUAUUGUCUCACUUGGUGUUUUUAGCAGUUGUUAUUCUUACACUACUGUACAUUGGUUCCAUUUUGAAGGAAUUUUCUUCAACUUCUAAUUAUAAUCUAUUCGUAGAUGAUUUUCUGAUUUGGUCGAUUUUGAAUUCAUGGAUUCACUCCUUAGUUUGAUCAAUUUUGGAAUUUCUUAUGACAUGGUAAGAAGUGGUGCACUUAAUUCUCCAGGGCUUGGAUCUCAGUGUUACAAAAUUUUCUUUCCUUUCUUCAAGUAAAGAUUUCUCAUUCUUAUUCCUCUGUUUAAAUGCAACUUACAUUUUUUUUUUUUAUUCAAAUUCUUCUGAAUUUGAGAUUUGAGUUUGAUUCAAUUUUUUAUCGGUUUGAUUUAAAAUGUGUUGGGAUGCUUCAUUCUACAUUUUCUAGUUAUUCGUGUGGUUUUGCUCUUCACAGUGAUUGUGUUGAUUACUGGUUGAUCAUUUUUGAAGCAAUUUGUGGAAGAGAAGAGGGUGUCGAUGAUUGUGAUUCCCCUUUAGGUCUUGUAAAUUGAGUAUGAUAGCAGAGGCCAUUGACAUAGAGAAAGAAUGAGCAGAAAUGGGAGGUUUUUAGUGAGAGAAAUGUUAACUAGAGGGUAAGAGCACUUGGGAUGGGUCAAUCCGAGCUGUAAGAAAGGAAGCUAGGUUGGGUAGGAGAAUCAGUAGGAAGAAGAAGAAUAAGUGGGUUGGGACUGUUCUUUUGAGAAGGAAGAGGAAGGGAAGAGAAUCUUCGAGAACAAGGAAGAAGAAAAUGCCAUGUAGAUCCAUCCGAUUUGCUCACUUGCUCUCAUACGCGCGAUUACAUGCUCCUUGUUAAUUGUGUCCGUUUGUAUGGUACAGGAGUGGGGAUAUACGUUUGACCAAUCUUAAAACAACAGAUAUGAAAGUAAAUGUCAUGCCAAUAACUUUGGUUUUUAGUAAUUUACCUAUUAUAUAUCUAGAUGCAAAGGCUAGUCUUUUUGGCGAGUCAUCUUGCAAUAUUUUCACAGAAAAAUAAUAAACUCACUGGCAAUUAGAGAUUCAAAAGAACUUCCCAAAAUUAUGGUGUCAGGUGAAGUUGCAUGCCAGAAAGAUCGCCUUAUAAAAUAUGGAUUCCUCUUGUUUGUUAGAAGCUAAGCCAUAUAUCACAAGAAAAUUUGUUGUCGGAACUGCAAGAGUUAGUGUUAGAUGAUAAUAACUAUGUCUAGGUAACAUUCUACAUAUUAACGCCUUUCUUCAAAACCUGGGUUGUUAGCAGGGAGACUUGCUAAUUUACUUCCAGACUACUGACAUUCCGACUCAAUGAUCGAUCAUGCAAGUUGAUGAUGUUUUUUUCUUUGUUUGUACAAUAACAGGAUAUGAAUUCCCUUUGAUGCUCGCCUGUUAGAUCAAAAAUUGCUGCUAUGCCAAGAAGUAGGAGAGGUGUAUGUUUUGCCACCAUUCUGAAGUGGCCUGUGUUGUGAAUAUAAACUUUAAAAUGAUAGGGGCUUAGAUCUUUUGAAUGCUACUGUUUGACGGUUUAGACUUUCAGUUUGCAACUUCUUAGUUAAGAGGAUUUGGGAUUUUGCUUUUUGAUUAUUUUGCACAAAAUUUCUGGCAUAAAAGGAGGAUGGUGAGUGAGAAGGGGAAAGAAAUAUUCUGUGAUCGUGAUUCUGAACCGCGAGUAAUCGUGAAUCUUUUAUUGAGGUUUAAACUGUUGUUAAAAUGUGAUUUGAGUGCGGAUUCCAUGAGCAAGUGCCUUGAGUAGGUACGAGUUUAAAAAGAAAAGGGUUCUAUUUUAAAUGUGAUGAGAGCUAGUAAAUUCAUAGUGCAACUGCAACGUGACCUCUGCUUUGGAGCUCAACUAUUUUAUACUUGGGAAGAAGGUUGCAGGAAGUUAUUUUCAGCUCCUCGUUAAGUAUCGCUCCUUCAACUUAGUGUACAAGUAUAACAUUGGCAUUUGUGGACGCCUUUCAAAAGCUGUUCGGUUGCAUGUAAUUAUUUUCCACUUAUAUAUUUUUCAUGGUUAAGAAUAUGUUUUUCAUAUAAUAAUUAUUUGUACAUUUUAAAUUUAAAUUUCUAUAGUUAAUGGUAUUUAUGGACCGCCAAAAUGGAUUUUAAUA